GGGGAUUAGUGGCGAACGGGUGAGUAACACGUGAGUAACCUGCCCUUGACUCUGGGAUAAGCCUGGGAAACUGGGUCUAAUACCGGAUAUGACUCCUCAUCGCAUGGUGGGGGGUGGAAAGCUUUUGUGGUUUUGGAUGGACUCGCGGCCUAUCAGCUUGUUGGUGAGGUAAUGGCUCACCAAGGCGACGACGGGUAGCCGGCCUGAGAGGGUGACCGGCCACACUGGGACUGAGACACGGCCCAGACUCCUACGGGAGGCAGCAGUGGGGAAUAUUGCACAAUGGGCGCAAGCCUGAUGCAGCGACGCCGCGUGAGGGAUGACGGCCUUCGGGUUGUAAACCUCUUUCAGUAGGGAAGAAGCGAAAGUGACGGUACCUGCAGAAGAAGCGCCGGCUAACUACGUGCCAGCAGCCGCGGUAAUACGUAGGGCGCAAGCGUUAUCCGGAAUUAUUGGGCGUAAAGAGCUCGUAGGCGGUUUGUCGCGUCUGCCGUGAAAGUCCGGGGCUCAACUCCGGAUCUGCGGUGGGUACGGGCAGACUAGAGUGAUGUAGGGGAGACUGGAAUUCCUGGUGUAGCGGUGAAAUGCGCAGAUAUCAGGAGGAACACCGAUGGCGAAGGCAGGUCUCUGGGCAUUAACUGACGCUGAGGAGCGAAAGCAUGGGGAGCGAACAGGAUUAGAUACCCUGGUAGUCCAUGCCGUAAACGUUGGGCACUAGGUGUGGGGGACAUUCCACGUUUUCCGCGCCGUAGCUAACGCAUUAAGUGCCCCGCCUGGGGAGUACGGCCGCAAGGCUAAAACUCAAAGGAAUUGACGGGGGCCCGCACAAGCGGCGGAGCAUGCGGAUUAAUUCGAUGCAACGCGAAGAACCUUACCAAGGCUUGACAUGAACCGGUAACGUCUGGAAACAGGCGCCCCACUUGUGGUCGGUUUACAGGUGGUGCAUGGUUGUCGUCAGCUCGUGUCGUGAGAUGUUGGGUUAAGUCCCGCAACGAGCGCAACCCUCGUUCCAUGUUGCCAGCGCGUAAUGGCGGGGACUCAUGGGAGACUGCCGGGGUCAACUCGGAGGAAGGUGGGGACGACGUCAAAUCAUCAUGCCCCUUAUGUCUUGGGCUUCACGCAUGCUACAAUGGCCGGUACAAAGGGUUGCGAUACUGUGAGGUGGAGCUAAUCCCAAAAAGCCGGUCUCAGUUCGGAUUGGGGUCUGCAACUCGACCCCAUGAAGUCGGAGUCGCUAGUAAUCGCAGAUCAGCAACGCUGCGGUGAAUACGUUCCCGGGCCUUGUACACACCGCCCGUCAAGUCACGAAAGUUGGUAACACCCGAAGCCGGUGGCCUAACCCCUUGGGGAGGGAG
rnacentral:rRNA from 1 species